ensembl:lncRNA
AUGUGCAAUAGGUUUGAAUUACACAUGGUUAUUGCAAAUAAUACUUUUUAUUCAUCAUAUUCUUUUCUUGAAAAUUUUCAGCAGCAGUUGACCUCACUGGACCCUGAAGUUCCUAACACCUAUGAACCAGUUCCAGAUCAGAUGCAGGUUAAGAAGCCUGAAACCAUUUAUGCUGCAGUUUCAAAAUCCAACAAACCUGUGAAUGAAGCCAAAGUGAAUGAAGCCGCACCAGAUGUGAGAAAUUAAAGCCACGCUUACACAGCUGUCCUAGAAGACUCCCCUUGAUUUCACAGCCAUCUUGUGGGUGUCCACACACUUACAUUUGGCCUUUCUCUGAUGUGGUGUGAAAGACUUUGGCCCACUGCUGAAGACAGCAGAUCUAUGAGUCUACUGUGUAAAGGCUGAAUCCAGGUCUUUCAUUGACAACUUUUUUUCAUGCAAUAUUUUAGUUUUACGCUAAGAUACAGUCUUAAAAUUGAGCAAUUCCAGGCUUAGAUGUCACAUUAGGCAUGUUACGACCCCCAGUCGUAACUGCCCUUCGUUGUGCCUGUGGCCAUUUUGUGUGUUUUUCGAUUAUUAUGUUGUGUGCAGGUGCAUGUUUGGCCACUCGAGGGCACCUGGCAGUAUAAGAGAUGGCUUAGCUACCAUCUUGGGAGACUUUUUCCCUUUUGAUAUGAUCUGGAUGAACACCUGUCCAUACCAGCCAGGGACUCUUUACAUCUGUCUGAUAGGCUUUUCUGCUAUUAUCAAAAUGUGACUGUUUGAUAAUGCUCUGAGAGCCUGAGCUCUGCGAGCAAAUUUAUUGAGCAUUUGAAGUAAAUAAACGUGUCAUUUUCUGGUUUAAACGGUGUUCAUUGUCUGGUCUGACAGCAGGUCUGGGGAGAGAGCCCGCUCCCAGUGUCUGUUAUGGCCUGACUCUAGACUGAGUCGGACACAACAGUGUCUAAUGCAGAAACUUUGUAAUUAUUUUAAGCAGGCCUUGUUCACACCCUUUUUGGAUGACCCCCCCUUCUUGCUAGCUGAUUUACUGUAAGAUUAGAGGCAAAGUAAUGACAAUGGCUACCACAAGCAGUCUAAAUAUCUUUAUUUUGUAUACAUCUUAUUGCUGAUGAUUGGAUGUUUGUUUGGGAUUCUAAUUAGUUAAAUUACAAAUAAUCUCACCAUUCUGGAUUCAGGGCUCAUCUCAUGGUGCAGUAUUUCUUGUUUACCCCACUAACUUUGGGCUUAGUAGGAUUUAACCCUGGUGACUAGUUUGCUAAGAAGACCAGAAGUGCCUGGACCCAGAGACCCAGAGGCCCUAUUUGCACAAGUGCCAUAGGGUGCCCACUCCUCAGCAGCACACCCGCAGUCUGCUCCUCAGUAUACAGACAUGUGGACUCAAGUCAUGUGACUUGGACUCAAAUCCAACUCCCGUCACAAAUUUCAUGACUUUAGACUCAAGAAAACUGCGAAAGACUUGAGACUCAACUUUGACUUCAACACCAAUGACUCAGACUCUGACUCAGAUUUGUGCCUCAUGACUCAGAAAGACUCAAGACUCGAAGUGGAAGAAACAUGGACAGGGUCAGAUUGCAGAUGGAACUCAACUCAGUUGAUUCUUCUUCAUAUGAAUGGAUUCCUUUCCUGCUGCAAACUGAAUAAACAGCAAUGUCAUCAGAUGUCUGUUACUGUAUUUAUGCUUGGUUUAUUUCAGAAGAGCAAGAGCUCAAGUUCACCUCCAAAUGCUGGAAACAAGUGAAACAUCAACAGCAUUAGUGCACCCUCGUUCAGCACUUAAACUCUUACUGGAGAAACUGACCAGGCGAACUGAACCUUUUCCUCAUGGUAGUUAAACAAAAAAAAAACAGCUCUUUAUGUUCAACCAAUUUAGCAGCUUCUGCAGGUAAAAAAGUGCAACAUUCACCACAAGGCUGAAGUUGUCAAUGUUAUUCACCAGCUUAAUAGACGAGUUUGCCGUUCCACCUUAAAUAGUGCAGUAAUGAGGUGCCAGAAUGUAACUGCUGCACCAUUUAAAGUGGAAAGGAAAGUUAAAUGAAAACAUCAACUUCAGCUUCGUACAUUCACCAUCAUUCUAUGUGCCCAAUGUUCCCAAAAAUCAGCAAAAAUUAUAUAUAUAUAUAUAUAUAUAUAUAUAUAUAUAUAUAUAUAGCUUAGUAGUACUUUGUGGCAUGCGCUCGCCCCUGGCGAUGAUGGUCACGAAAGUCAGCACCAGUGUCCUCGUC